rnacentral:rRNA from 1 species
AGCAGUAGCCGCGGGAAUACAGAGGGUGCGAGCGUUAAUCGGAUUUACUGGGCGUAAAGCGUGCGUAGGCGGCUUCUUAAGUCGGAUGUGAAAUCCCUGAGCUCAACCUGGGAAUGGCAGUGGAUACUGGCAAGCUAGAGUGUGUCAGAGGAUGGUGGAAUUCCCGGUGUAGCGGUGAAAUGCGUAGAGAUCGGGAGGAACAUCAGUGGCGAAGGCGGCCAUCUGGGACAACACUGACGCUGAGGCACGAAAGCGUGGGGAGCAAACAGGAUUAGAUACCCCCGUAGUCCCUGUCUCUUAUAC